rnacentral:sRNA from 1 species
UUUCUUAUUAAUUAUUAUAUUUCACCUCUCAUCUUUAUAUGAGUAACCCAUUCGAGUUCGGGUAGAACCCGUUCGGGUUUGGGAUUAAUGGGUAUAUGAUUUACUACCCAAUAGAAUAAUCCUACUAUAUUAUUUAGGAAGUACAUUUUAAAUGUAACUUUAUCUUUUAUAAGUAAUUACAUAGGUAUGCCAUUAGAAAUAAAAUUUUAAAUAGUAAAUUAAUUCAUCUCUUUAAGAAUUAAAAAGUCAAAUDACUAAUUAAAU